GGAGUUUCACCCUUGUUGUCCAGACUGGAGUGCAAUGGCGCGAUCUCGGCUCCCGGCAACCUCCGUCUCCCAGGUUCAAGCAAUUCUCCUGCCUCAGCCUCCCAAGUAGCUAGGAUUACAGGCAUGUGCCACCACGCCCGGCUAAUUUUGGAUUUUGUAGUAGAGACGGGGUUUCUCCCUGUUGGUGAAGCUGGCCUCAAACUCGCGACCUCAGGUAUUCGAUGAGAUCAGGAGCAUGCCCAGCUCUCCACUGCGGGCUUCAUGUAAGAGGAGAGCCAUGAUAAUGUAUUGCAUUAUUCUUGUACAGUAAUCAG
rnacentral:lncRNA from 10 species